AUGAAAAUUACGACACUAGACUUUUACUUGCUAAUCAACAGUUCAGGUUUGGAAAACACCAAGUAAGAAAGUGCUAUCGUGUUCAUGGCCGACUAAGGAAUUACUGGCGUAAGUGGUUUUUUUAAUAACAUCUUUUUAGUAAUGAAAAAGAAAUAUACAAACAGUAAAUACGAAGAAACUGAAUAAGUAAUUAAUGAACUCAAAAUACUACAAAAUCGAGCACUCAUUUAAUUGUUUAAAGCAUUGCCGGUAUUUAAUUAGUUGUUUUUCGGUGAAAGCGCAUUUAAUUUAAGCAUUUCAUCUUAAAAACUGGUUGCUCAUACUAAGUUGGAAGCAUAUGGGAUUCGGUUUCGCAAACCCAUUAACCACUCAAAAAAUCCUUCAACAAAGAGAUUAUUGAUUUCCUGUUGCCGUAUAUAUCAUUACAUUUUGAUAUGUGGUUUCCUGUGUUUUCGGCUCUAAAUAGUACCUCAUUGAAAUUUUGCUGAACAGAUUAAUCCGACUAAAUGAAAAAUUACAAUUUUUAAAGAUACUAUCUAUACAAGAAUUAAAAAAAAGAUACCUUACAAACUGAUUCAUAUCUAUUCAUUGACAAUCAUGAACACUUUUUAAAAUGGAAAUCCUAAAAUUGAUCUGCUUCAUAAGUCGUCAUAUCAAGUACUUUAAAUUCCUAAGCGAACUCGCU